ensembl:lncRNA
AAACACUGCGGUUGGGUUUCUUGAUAUCAAUCUUAUUUGAAAUGCUUUCAGAUUUGUGCAAAUUGCUUUUGGGUUGCAGGUGUUUCUUCAACUAUGGGAACUUUUAUAGCCCAGGAGUUGAUUUUAAUUAAAACUUGCAGAUUUUCACCCUUGUAUGCAAUGUGCAUUUAUCCAAAAAUGUUAUAAGGCAUUAACACUGUAUAAUACAUACCUAUUUCAGGACAAAGCAUUACUAGAGUGGAAGAAACACCCACACAUCCUCUACAGCCUCUCAAACGUGGGCUCACUUGCUGAGUUUCACACUGCAGGACUCUCACACUCUGCAGUAAAACAACCGCUUAAGAGAAGGCCUUGUUCCAGUUGCACUUCUUUUGUCAUGCUAAAGGUAACCUUUUAAAGUGCAUUGACCACAGGUAGCAUAGAGAAACAAUGGGAUACAUCAGCAUCCUCCUCUAGAGUUACUGCUGACCUGCCAGAAUCCUCCACUCCCACAGUCCUCGUCUUCCACUCUGUGGGUGCAAAUAAAGCUGUCCAACUAUGACAUCACGGCUAGCCAUUCGUUUUCUGUAUAUCACCAUGGCGAUGCGACCGUAACUGGUGAGAUGGCAGCAACCACGGAGAUGAAAGACCGCAUUAGCGCAUCAGGAUGGAGACAUGCACUAAGAUCUGUCAGAUUUUCUUUUUAAUUUAGCCUUUGCCUUUUACAUAAGCUCUACUGAAAAGAUCAGAGAAACUAUGAAGAGUCAUGCUGACCUCCUCCUUCACUGUGGAUCAGGACCAAUACGGUUCUCCACCAAUCAAUCUGGGGUGCGUUUCCCAAAACCAUAGUUUCUAACCUGUUAGCAACUUAGUUGGUUGGCAAUGGGAAAUUGCAUUGGUUUUGGGAAGCGCACCCCAGGUCAAUCACAAUCUCAUCACUCAAUCUCUUCCAAAAACAGCUUUGAUAUUUAAACAAUAAUAGCAUGUCAGAUGGCAGAACAACAGCAAAUCUUUUACUUUUUAAUCUUGACAGUAACAUUUAUGCGAAUUCACUCUCUGACAGCAGGUGGCGCUUAUGGAACAGCAGCGAUACAGCUUCUGCAUUUAUAAACACUACUUUAAUAUGCAUUAUAUGGAGGUAAGAGGAAAAGAAAAGCCAUUGAAACAUUUUUGAAGAUGGUCAGAUACAAACUCCCACAUAUUUUUCUUCCUAUAUUUCGAGCAUCGCGAACAGCGAGCUUGAUCUGCCUGGUACAGUAUUUUCUCCUCAUAGACUUCAUAAAAUUUACACACAAAUGACAUUUUUUGGAAAUUAUUGCAAUGAAGUUUGUGUGCAAUUCUAGGUUUCAUUACCGCACGCACCCCCUUCUGGAUUGAUCGCCUAUGACUGAAUGUAUUCGGCGUCUGACUGCAUUAACCAAACCGUGACAUCCGUACCAUGUCCGUUCGGGAUGAAUACAUGUACCGUUAAACCCCUAGUAUGAAACAAAGUUGCAGCUUUCAAAUUUUGUAAGAAAUUCAAACAAUAAAUAGCGUUUUGUGGCUCUUUAAUGUAUGGUGACAGAUCGCUGUUUCGCACGUAAACCCAUCUUCUUCCUUUUUACUAGUUACAGCACAAAAUAAACAUGAAUGAACAUCAGAAGGGAUCUUGUUUCAACCACGGAGAGACGUUAGUACACACCAUUUCUUAAAUUCAAGUCCACUGAUGUUACUCUACUCUCGGCUGGUUUGUUUGUCGAACAGAAUGGCAGAUUCUGUGUUAUGAUUGGCCAGAUCGCCCAUCAAUCAAACUUCUGGCGAAGGUCUGCAUGAACCAGAAGUUACUGCUGACUUUAUUCCAGUAUAGUGAUGCAUUUCAGACUGAAACAGAAUAUUGAAUAAAGGGCAGGGUUUUACUUUAGAGCUCCUCCUCUCCAUCUCUCAUUCAUAGCAAACUAACGGUUGAAGGGGCGUGGUUAAGAAUAUUCUGCCUAAGCCGUCAAAAUAACAUCAUCAGAGAAGGAAUGCCAUUCUAGAUUGGAAGCAAAUGUUUCGAUUUUGAUUAAAGAUUACCAAGACGACCAUUUUGUUUAAUUGCAUGGAUUAAUUGUUCACCUCAAGACUAGCAAUGUGUGCUAAAAAAGUAAAUAGAGUAAAUUUUUAUUUAAUGAGGACUUUAACUU